rnacentral:rRNA from 1 species
UACAGAGGGUGCGAGCGUUGUCCGGAAUCACUGGGCGUAAAGGGCGCGUAGGUGGUGGCUUAAGCGUGCGGUGAAAGCUCGGGGCUCAACUCCGAGUCGGCCGUGCGAACUGGGCUCACUGGAGCAUAGUAGAGGCAGGUGGAAUUCCGGGUGUAGCGGUGGAAUGCGUAGAGAUCCGGAAGAACACCGGUGGCGAAGGCGGCUUGCUGGGCUAUGGCUGACACUGAGGCGCGACAGCGUGGGGAGCAAACAGG